AUUAUUUUGGCAGAAUUGAUGUGUAGAUUUUAGGAAUCUUUUAUAUAUACUAAAUAGUAUAUAAAUAAUA
rnacentral:tRNA from 1 species